rnacentral:rRNA from 1 species
UGGGGAAUAUUGGUCAAUGGGCGAAAGCCUGAACCAGCAAUGCCGCGUGAGUGAUGAAGGCCUUCGGGUUGUAAAGCUCUGUCAGUGGGAACGAAGAAGUCGAUUAAUACUCGAUGGUGACGGUACCUACAAAGGAAGCACCGGCUAACUCUGUGCCAGCAGCCGCGGUAAUACAGAGGGUGCAAGCGUUGUUCGGAAUUACUGGGCGUAAAGCGCGUGUAGGCGGUUUAGUAAGUCGAUCGUGAAAGCCCUUGGCUUAACCAAGGAACUGCGGUCGAAACUACUAGACUAGAGUAUCGGAGGGGGUGGCGGAAUUCCCGGUGUAGAGGUGAAAUUCGUAGAUAUCGGGAGGAACACCUGUGGCGAAGGCGGCCACCUGGAAGACUACUGACGCUGAGACGCGAAAGCGUGGGGAGCAAACAGGAUUAGAUACCCUGGUAGUCCACGCCGUAAACUAUGAGUGCUAGGUGUUGCGGGUAUUGACCCCUGCAGUGCCAAAGCUAACGCGUUAAGCACUCCGCCUGGGGAGUACGGUCGCAAGAUUAA